CGAACCAGUGGCCGCUCAACCCAUUUCAUUUCAUCCAAACAAUUCGGCGGCGGCUCCUAAACGAAUUGAUAGACAUAUUAACUCCGUGAAGAUUUUGGGCCGACAUGAGGGCUAAGUGGAAGAAGAAGCGUAUGAGGAGGUUGAAGAGGAAGCGCCGAAAGAUGAGACAAAGAUCCAAGUAGAAGUUUGGACUAGGAUACCUGAGUGGGUCCUUUUGCAUGGACCAGCCUCUUCUUCAUUGGCCUUGGUUUUUCGGAUGAAUGGAAGGAAGUUCUGUAGAAAUAUGGAGUUGUCUUGUUUUCGAUUAUGUUCUUACUGAAGUGUUUUAGCUUAUAAUUAAGGAUUGUUUUGCAUUAUCAUUUCGAAUCUAAACAGAUUAUGAGACUUGUAUUGAACCUAUUCUAUCUAGUCUUCGCUUAUUUUUCUAUACUUUA